AUCUAAAUAGUUUAAUCAAGAAUGAUAAUUUGUGGUGUUAUAGGUGAUAUUUAUCUUUAGAUU
rnacentral:tRNA from 1 species